rnacentral:rRNA from 1 species
UACGGGGGGGGGCAAGCGUUGUUCGGAAUUACUGGGCGUAAAGGGUUUGUAGGUGGCUUGCUAAGUCAGACGUGAAAUCCCUCAGCUUAACUGGGGAACUGCGUCUGAUACUGGCGAGCUUGAGUGCAGGAGAGGAACGCGGAAUUCCAGGUGUAGCGGUGAAAUGCGUAGAUAUCAGGAGGAACACCGGUGGCGAAGGCGGCUUUCUGGACAGAUACCGACGCUGAGGCACGAAAGCUAGGGGAGCAAACAGG